rnacentral:rRNA from 1 species
UACGUAGGGUGCAAGCGUUGUCCGGAAUUAUUGGGCGUAAAGAGCUCGUAGGCGGUUUGUCGCGUCUGCUGUGAAAACUCGGGGCUUAACUCCGGGCCUGCAGUGGGUACGGGCAGACUAGAGUGCGGUAGGGGAGACUGGAAUUCCUGGUGUAGCGGUGAAAUGCGCAGAUAUCAGGAGGAACACCGGUGGCGAAGGCGGGUCUCUGGACAGUUCCUGACACUGAGGCACGAAGGCCAGGGGAGCAAACGGG